rnacentral:rRNA from 1 species
AGAGAGAGACAUGCGCGCAUAUCAAUAAGCGGAGGAAAAGAAACUAACAAGGAUUCCCUUAGUAACGGCGAGUGAAGCGGGAAGAGCUCAAAUUUGAAAUCUUCAAGGUUUUACCUUGACGAAUUGUAGUUUAAAGAAGUGUUUUCUGCUGAAGUUUUGGUAAAAGUUCUUUGGAAUAGGACAUCAUAGAGGGUGAGAAUCCCGUAUUUGACCAUUAUUUUCAGCUUUGUGAUACACUUUCAAAGAGUCGGAUUGUUUGGGAAUGCAGUCCAAAAUGGGUGGUAAAUUUCAUCUAAAGCUAAAUAUUGGCGAGAGACCGAUAGCGAACAAGUACCGUGAGGGAAAGAUGAAAAGAACUUUGAAAAGAGAGUUAAACAGUACGUGAAAUUGUCAAAAGGGAAGCGUUUGACACCAGUGUUGUUUUCUCGAAAAUCAAUUAAAAAUGGCUCGAUUUUGUAUUGCUUGAGACCUUAAAAGCUCACUGUACAUUUUUCGUGUCUUUUUUAAUGCACUUUUCGUUUAACAAGUCAACAUCAGUCUCUUUUGUUGUAAAAGGGUCAUUGGAAGGUGGCUUUCUUUUCGGAGAAAGUGUUUAUAGCCUUUGGCCUCUGCAAUCGGAGAGGACUGAGGUCUGCAGCGUAGACUCUUCGGGGUUAGAUACAUUUGUGCUAAGUUAUAGCUUUUUAUAGACAACUUGUUGACUAUAAUUAGUCUUGUAGCUUACUCGCUUAUGCUAUUUUACCUACGCUUAGGAUGUUGAGUCGUAGAGCACGCAG